CGACGGAAGGCCUCUUGCUUGCCGGGGUGCUCGAGUGGCGAACGGGUGAGUAACACGUGGGUGAUCUGCCUUGUACUCUGGGAUAACCUUGGGAAACUGGGUCUAAUACCGGAUAGGAACUGCCUUUAGUGUGGUGGUUGGAAAGUUUUUUCGGUGCAUGAUGAGCUCGCGCCCUAUCAUUUUGUUGGGGGGGAAAUGCCCUACCAGGGCGUCAACGGGUACCCGGCCUAAAAGGGUGUACGGCCACUUUGGAACUGAUAUACGGCCCACACCCCUAGGGGAGGCACCAGGGGGAAAUUUUGCACAGGGGGGGAAACCCUGAUGCCUCCCCCCCCCGGGGGGCAUGAGGGCUUUGGGUUUUUAAACCCCUUUCAACUGGGACAAAGCGCAAGAAAGGGUCCCUGUAAAAAA
rnacentral:rRNA from 1 species